CUACGGGGGGCUGCAGUGGGGAAUAUUGCGCAAUGGGCGAAAGCCUGACGCAGCGACGCCGCGUGGGUGAUGAAGGUUUUCGGAUCGUAAAACCCUGUCAAAAGGGACGAAACUAAUUAGUGAAUAAUACCAUUGAUUAUUGACGGUACCUUUAAAGGAAGCACCGGCUAACUCCGUGCCAGCAGCCGCGGUAAAACGGAGGGUGCAAGCGUUGUUCGGAAUUACUGGGCGUAAAGAGCUCGUAGGCGGAACAGGAAGUUGGGUGUGAAAUCCCUCGGCUCAACCGAGGAACUGCGCUCAAAACCACUGGUCUUGAGUAUCGGAAGGGAACGGGGAAUUCCCAGUGUAGAAGUGAAAUUCGUAGAUAUUGGGAGGAACACCAGCGGCGAAGGCGCCGUUCUGGCCGAUAACUGACGCUGAGGAGCGAAAGCGUGGGUAGCAAACAGGAUUAGAUACCCUCGUAGUC
rnacentral:rRNA from 1 species